GGCACAAACUUGAAGUAGAAUAGUUGGGUAUCUUCAGCUGAUCCUACUAACCCACUCUACUUCAAUUUUGUGCUC
rfam:Haemonchus contortus, ISE/inbred ISE, WGS project CAVP01000000 data, contig: Hcontortus_732